GAUUAACGCUAGCGGCAGGCAUAAUACAUGCAAGUUGAACGGCAGCACAGGUAGCAAUACUGGUUGGCGAGUGGCGCACGGGUGCGUAACACGUAUGCAACCUACCCUAUACAGUCGAAUAACCUUUAGAAAUGAGGGCUAAUACGCCGUAGUAUUACAGAUUGGCAUCUAUUUGUAAUUAAAGAUUUAUCGGUAUAGGAUGGGCAUGCGUCCCAUUAGUUAGUUGGUAAGGUAACGGCUUACCAAGACGAUGAUGGGUAGGGGAUCUGAGAGGACUUACCCCCACACUGGUACUGGGAAACGGACCAGAGUCAUACGGGAGGCAGUCGUACGGAAUAUUGGGCAAUGGCCGAGAGGCUGACCCAGCCAUGCCGCGUGCAGGAAGACGGCCUUAUGGGUUGUAACCUGCUUUUAUACGGGAAUAAUAGAGUGUACGCGUACAUUUAUGAAAGUAUCGUAUGAAUAAGCAUCGGCUAACUACGUG
rnacentral:rRNA from 1 species